rfam:Nicotiana attenuata strain TT scaffold02142, whole genome shotgun sequence.
UGGAUAGAUUAUUGUAUUCGACUGUAUUCACGGCAUGAAAUAUGGGAUUACACUGUUUUUAAACGGAAAGUGAAUUAAUUAACAUAAUAGACUCCU